AUCCAUGGCCAUACCACCCUCAUCAUGCCUAAUCUCCUCGACCUCAGAAACUAAGGAUUUUGAAUGGUUAGGACUUGGAUGGUAGACCACCAUGAGAAUACUAGGAGUUGUAGGCU
rnacentral:rRNA from 1 species